rnacentral:rRNA from 1 species
ACGAACGCUGGCGGCGUGCUUAACACAUGCAAGUCGAACGGAAAGGCCCUGCUUUUGUGGGGUGCUCGCGUGGCGAACGGGUGAGUAACACGUGAGUAACCUGCCCUUGACUUUGGGAUAACUUCAGGAAACUGGGGCUAAUACCGGAUAGGAGCUCCUGCUGCAUGGUGGGGGUUGGAAAGUUUCGGCGGUUGGGGAUGGACUCGCGGCUUAUCAGCUUGUUGGUGGGGUAGUGGCUUACCAAGGCUUUGACGGGUAGCCGGCCUGAGAGGGUGACCGGCCAAAUUGGGACGGAGAUACGGCCCAGACUCCUACGGGAGGCAGAAGUGGGGAAUAUUGAACAAUGGGCGGAAGCCUGAUGCAGCAACGCCGCGGGCGGGAUGACGGCCUUCGGGUUGUAAACCGCUUUCGCCUGUGACGAAGCGUGAGUGACGGUAAUGGGUAAAGAAGCACCGGCUAACUACGUG